rnacentral:rRNA from 1 species
AAUGAUCCCCAAGGUGUAGCAAUACAUUGAGGGGGGAAAUGGCGAAAGGGGCAGUAAUGUAUGGGUAACGUACCCUCAGGUCGUGAAUAGCCUACCUAACGGUAGGGUAAUGCACGGAGUAAUCGCGAGGCGGCAUCGCUUUACGAUUAAAGAAUCUCGCCUGGGGAGCGGCCCAUAUCGUAUCAGCUAGUUGGCGGGGUAACGGCCCACCAAGGCUAAAACGCGUAGCGGGUGUGAGAGCACGACCCGCGCCACUGGCACUGAGACACUGGCCAGACUCCUACGGGAGGCUGCAGUCGAGGAUCUUCGGCAAUGGGCGCAAGCCUGACCGAGCGACGCCGCGUGUGCGAUGAAGGCCUUCGGGUUGUAAAGCACUGUCGAGGGGGAGGAAGCCGCAAGGUUGACCUAUCCCUGGAGGAAGCACGGGCUAAGUUCGUGCCAGCAGCCGCGGUAAGACGAACCGUGCAAACGUUAUUCGGAAUCACUGGGCUUAAAGGGCGCGUAGGCGGGUCGGAUAGUCUGCGGUGAAAUACCUCAGCUUAACUGGGGAACUGCCGUGGAUACUUCCGGUCUCGAGGAGGGUAGGGGCAUCUGGAACAGCCGGUGGAGCGGUGAAAUGCGUUGAUAUCGGCUGGAACUCCGGUGGCGAAGGCGAGAUGCUGGACCCCUUCUGACGCUGAGGCGCGAAAGCCAGGGGAGCGAACGGGAUUAGAUACCCCGGUAGUCCUGGCCCUAAACGAUGGGUACUAGAUUGUGGGCUGACAUGGGCUCACAGUCGGAGCAAAAGUGUUAAGUACCCCG